rnacentral:rRNA from 1 species
AACGAACGCUGGCGGCAGGCUUAACACAUGCAAGUCGAACGCAUCGCAAGAUGAGUGGCAGACGGGUGAGUAACGCGUGGGAACAUACCCUUUUCUACGGAAUAGCCCUGGGAAACUGGAAUUAAUACCGUAUACGCCCUACGGGGGAAAGAUUUAUCGGGGAAGGAUUGGCCCGCGUUGGAUUAGCUAGUUGGUGGGGUAAAGGCCUACCAAGGCGACGAUCCAUAGCUGGUCUGAGAGGAUGAUCAGCCACAUUGGGACUGAGACACGGCCCAAACUCCUACGGGAGGCAGCAGUGGGGAAUAUUGGACAAUGGGCGCAAGCCUGAUCCAGCCAUGCAGCGUGAGUGAUGAAGGCCUUAGGGUUGUAAAGCUCUUUCACCGAUGAAGAUGAUGACGGUAGUCGGAGGAGAAGCCCCGGCUAACUUCGUGCCAGCCGCCGCGGUAACAC